rnacentral:rRNA from 1 species
UACGAAGGGGGCUAGCGUUGCUCGGAAUCACUGGGCGUAAAGCGCACGUAGGCGGACUCUUAAGUCAGGGGGUGAAAUCCUGGAGCUCAACUCCAGAACUGCCUUUGAUACUGAGAGCCUUAAGUCCGGAAGAGGUAAGUGGAACUGCGAGUGUAGAGGUGAAAUUCGUAGAUAUUCGCAAGAACACCAGUGGCGAAGGCGGCUUACUGGUCCGGUACUGACGCUGAGGUGCGAAAGCGUGGGGAGCAAACAGGG